GAUGAAGAACGUAGCGAAAUGCGAUAAGUAGUGUGAAUUGCAGAAUUCAGUGAAUCAUCGAAUCUUUGAACGCACAUUGCGCCCCUUGGUAUCCCGAGGGGCAUGACUGUUCGAGCGUCAUUUCACCACUCAAGCCUGGCUUGGUGUUGGGCGACGUCCUCUUUGGGGACGCGCCUCGAAACGCUCGGCGGCGUGGCACCGGCUUUAAGCGUAGCAGAAUCUUUCGCUUUGGAAGUCGGGGCCCCGUCUGCCGGAAGACCUGCUCGCAAGGUUGACCUCGGAUCAGGCAGGGAUACCCGCUGAACUUAAGCAUAUCAAUAAGCGGAGGA
rnacentral:misc_RNA from 1 species